UGGGGAAUUUUGGACAAUGGGCGCAAGCCUGAUCCAGCCAUGCCGCGUGCGGGAAGAAGGCCUUCGGGUUGUAAACCGCUUUUGUCAGGGAAGAAAUCUUCUGAGUUAAUACCUCGGGAGGAUGACGGUACCUGAAGAAUAAGCACCGGCUAACUACGUGCCAGCAGCCGCGGUAAUACGUAGGGUGCAAGCGUUAAUCGGAAUUACUGGGCGUAAAGCGUGCGCAGGCGGUUUUGUAAGACAGAGGUGAAAUCCCCGGGCUCAACCUGGGAACUGCCUUUGUGACUGCAAGGCUUGAGUGCGGCAGAGGGGGAUGGAAUUCCGCGUGUAGCAGUGAAAUGCGUAGAUAUGCGGAGGGACACCGAUGGCGAAGGCAAUCCCCUGGGCCUGCACUGACGCUCAUGCACGAAAGCGUGGGGAGCAAACAGGAUUAGAUACCCUGGUAGUCCACGCCCUAAACGAUGUCAACUGGUUGUUGGGAAGGUUCCUUCUCAGUAACGUAGCUAACGCGUGAAGUUGACCGCCUGGGGAGUACGGCCGCAA
rnacentral:rRNA from 1 species